AGGGUUAUUAUUUUUUAUAAAUAUAAAAAUGUAUUACUAUAUUAAUUUAUCAUAGUUUCCCAAUUUUAUCAAUACAUUAACCACCUCUAUGAUGGUUCGUACUUGCUGCAAAAUUAAAGUAAUAAAAAUAUCCCUAACUCCUCGAAAGAGUUAGGGCUUUUAUUUUCGCGAUUUUUUCUUUUAUUUUUUCAUAUGUAAAGGAAACACUGUUAUAACCCUUUUGACUAGCUCAUGAAGAUUACUGUUUUUCUUGCACAAAAGAAAGCACUGCCGGAAUUGCUUCGAUCAUAUCGCUGGCAAGUACGUCCCAUUGAGAAUGGCCGCGCGAGACAAGCCAAUCCGCAGCUUUGCCAUGCACCCAGACGGCAUUGCUGAUUGCGGCUUGAGCCGAAUCGUGCUGCAUUAAAAAUGCAGUAAUCAUUCCCGUCAGCACAUCUCCGCUUCCCCCUUUCGCCAACGCUGGAUUUCCGGUUGUAUUGACAUAUUGUGAACCGUCUGGCGCAGUGACAAUCGUAUACGGUCCUUUUAAAACGACAUAGAUGCCGUAUGCUGUCGCCAAUUUCUUUGCUAAGCCAAACCGAUCUUGUUCGACAUCGCGAACCGACAUAUGAAGCAUACGCGCCAUUUCUCCGGAAUGCGGGGUGACCACUGUUGCCGCUUUUCGUUCACCGAUCAGCGCGUCGUAUUCGUCCCAGAAAAAGAGCGCAUCAGCAUCAAUAACUAGCGGAACUGGAUGCUGCAAUAUAGUACGGACAAGCUGCCGUGUGCCAUCCGUUCUUCCCAUUCCCGGGCCAAUCGCGAUCGCAUCGAUAUCGAGCGCCGACAAAUCUAUGGCGCCGGAAAACGCCCCGUCCCGCGCCGGACAUGGAUAGUACAUGGCUUCUGGAAUACGGUUAGCUACAACAGAAUAAAUGUCAUCCGGCACCGCCAUCGUUAACAAUCCCGCUCCGCUUCGCAGCGCCGCUUUGGCCGUAAAUGUUACCGCUCCUGUCAUCUUCCGCGAACCGCCAAUCACUAAGAGUUUUCCGUACGUUCCUUUAUGGGAUGACCGUUUCCGUUUUGGCAGCGUCCGAACAACAUCGUCCUCUUUCCAUACAAAACGGGAUGCGGCAUUCCUCUUAACAGCAAGCGGCGGAAUACCGAUAUCGACAAUAAGCAGUUCGCCGUAAAAGUCUGCUGCCGGAAACGUAUACGCCCCUAGUUUCGGACAUUGAAUCGUAAUCGUGACAUCGGCGCAAACAGCGGUUUCGACCUCUCCUCCGUCCGCCGCCGUUCCGCUCGGAAGAUCGAUCGCAUAGACAAAUGCGCGAGAUCGGUUGACAAGCUGAAUGAUUUCUUUAUACGGCGACCGUACCUCCCCUUUAAUUCCAAUACCAAGCAAGGCGUCAAUGAUGACAUCGUAUUGUAAAAUAUGUGAGG
rnacentral:antisense_RNA from 1 species